rnacentral:rRNA from 1 species
GGCAGCACGGGAGCAAUCCUGGUGGCGAGUGGCGAACGGGUGAGUAAUACAUCGGAACGUGCCCUGUAGUGGGGGAUAACUAGUCGAAAGACUAGCUAAUACCGCAUACGACCUGAGGGUGAAAGUGGGGGACCGCAAGGCCUCAUGCUAUAGGAGCGGCCGAUGUCUGGUUAGCUAGUUGGUGGGGUAAAGGCCUACCAAGGCGACGAUCAGUAGCUGGUCUGAGAGGACGAUCAGCCACACUGGGACUGAGACACGGCCCAGACUCCUACGGGGGGCAGCAGUGGGGAAUUUUGGACAAUGGGGGCAACCCUGAUCCAGCAAUGCCGCGUGUGUGAAGAAGGCCUUCGGGUUGUAAAGCACUUUUGUCCGGGAAGAAAUCGCACCUGAUAAUACCGGGUGUGGAUGACGGUACCGGAAGAAUAAGGACCGGCUAACUACGUGCCAGCAGCCGCGGUAAUACGUAGGGUCCAAGCGUAAUCGGAAUUACUGGGCGAAAGCGUGCGCAGGCGGUUGUGCAGACGAUGUGAAAUCCCCGGGCUUACCUGGGAAUUCAUUGGUGACUGCACGGCUAGGUGUGUCAGAGGGGGGAGAAUUCGCGUGUACCGUGAAUGCGUAGAGAUCUGGAGGAUACGAUGGCGAUGCAGCCCCUGGGAUACCUGAACUCAUGCACGAAACGUGGGAGCAACAGGAUUAGAUACCCUGGAGUCCACCCCUAACGAUGUCACUAGUUGUUGGGAUCAUUUCUUAGUACGUACUGACGCGUGAAGUUGACCCCUGGGAGUACGGCGCAGAUAAACUCAAUGAUUGCUG